rnacentral:tRNA from 2 species
GGAUCAUUAGCUCAGUUGGUCAGAGCAACCGGCUCAUACCCGGUAAGUCGUAGGUUCGAGUCCUAUAUGAUCCA